rnacentral:rRNA from 1 species
UACAGAGGUGCGAGCGUUAAUCGGAAUUACUGGGCGUAAGCGCGCGGUAGGCGGCUUUGCAAGUCGGGAUGUGAAAUCCCCAAGGCUUAACCUGGGAACUGCAUUCGAGACUGCAUUGCUAGAGUAUGGGAGAGGAAGUGGAAUUUCCGGUGUAGCGGUGAAAUGCGUAGAUAAUCGAGAGGAACACCGGUGGCGAAGGCGGCCAACUGGACGAAUACUGACGCUGAGACUCGAAAGCGUGGGGAGCAAACAG